AAAAAAGAACCAAAGCACGAUAUAUAAAUUAUAAUUUACACACACACAUAUAUAUGUAUAUAUGGAUACAAAAAGGUUGAGAUGAGAGAUACUAUACUAAUUAACUAAGUAUGAUGAGGGUGGUGGGAGAAGAGAGAAUUGACGGCGGCGGUUUUGGUGAGGCCGAGGAGGGGUCGUCGGUCCUUGCCUUCUUCCGCAUAGAAAACGUCGUCGUCAUCCUCCAAAUCAUCGUGAGAG
rnacentral:lncRNA from 1 species